UGAGGAAUCUUGCGCAAUGGGGGAAACCCUGACGCAGCAACGCCGCGUGAGUGAGGAAGGUCUUCGGAUCGUAAAGCUCUGUCAGUUGGAAAGAAAUGUCUGAGAGUCAAUCCCUUUCAGGCUUGACGGUACCAACAGAGGAAGCACCGGCUAACUCCGUGCCAGCAGCCGCGGUAAUACGGGGGGUGCAAGCGUUGUUCGGAAUUAUUGGGCGUAAAGAGCGUGUAGGCGGCUGGAUAUGUCAGAUGUGAAAGCCCCGGGCUUAACCCGGGAAGUGCAUUUGAAACUGUCCGGCUCGAGUAGGGGAGAGGGAAGUGGAAUUCCCGGUGUAGAGGUGAAAUUCGUAGAUAUCAGGAGGAACACCGGUGGCGAAGGCGACUUCCUGGCCCUAUACUGACGCUGAGACGCGAGAGCGUGGGUAGCAAACAG
rnacentral:rRNA from 1 species